rnacentral:rRNA from 1 species
GAACGGCACCCAGGUAUCAUACGGGUGGCGAGUGGCGGACGGGUGAGGAAUACAUCGGGACCUGCCCAGACGUGGGGGAUAACGUAGGGAAACUUACGCUAAUACCGCAUACGUCCUACGGGAGAAAGCGGGGGAUCGCAAGACCUCGCGCGGUUGGAUGGACCGAUGUUCGAUUAGCUAGUUGGUAGGGUAAUGGCCUACCAAGGCGACGAUCGAUAGCUGGUCUGAGAGGAUGAUCAGCCACACUGGGACUGAGACACGGCCCAGACUCCUACGGGAGGCAGCAGUGGGGAAUAUUGGACAAUGGGCGCAAGCCUGAUCCAGCAAUGCCGCGUGUGUGAAGAAGGCCUUCGGGUUGUAAAGCACUUUUAUCAGGAGCGAAAUACUACCGGCUAAUACCCGGUGGGGCUGACGGUACCUGAGGAAUAAGCACCGGCUAACUUCGUGCCAGCAGCCGCGGUAAU